rnacentral:rRNA from 1 species
GUGGGGAAUAUUGCACAAUGGGCGCAAGCCUGAUGCAGCAACGCCGCGUGAGGGAUGACGGCCUUCGGGUUGUAAACCUCUUUUAGUAGGGAAGAAGCGAAAGUGACGGUACCUGCAGAAAAAGCACCGGCUAACUACGUGCCAGCAGCCGCGGUAAUACGUAGGGUGCAAGCGUUGUCCGGAAUUAUUGGGCGUAAAGAGCUCGUAGGCGGCUUGUCGCGUCUGCUGUGAAAACCCGAGGCUCAACCUCGGGCCUGCAGUGGGUACGGGCAAGCUAGAGUGCGGUAGGGGAGAUUGGAAUUCCUGGUGUAGCGGUGGAAUGCGCAGAUAUCAGGAGGAACACCGAUGGCGAAGGCAGAUCUCUGGGCCGUAACUGACGCUGAGGAGCGAAAGCGUGGGGAGCGAACAGGAUUAGAAACCCCGGUAGUCC